GGAGCCGGGCUGAGGGAAGGGCUCCGCCCGCAGCGCGAGGCCCCGAGGGGGUGAGAGGGAAAAACGGAACUUUGUGCUUGGCAGCUGCUGUGCUUUGUCGGGUUGCUCAGGUUGGAAAACACCUUCCGGAUGAUCGGAUCCAACCGCAGCCUAACCGGAUUGAAGGCCCAUGGCCGUAAUGGCUCGGUCACUUUGCAGCCACAGGACAAUUCUCACCUGCAGUCUGAAUGGAGCUGCUGCCAUCCCUGCUCCUUGCACCUCGGUCUUCUUCGGGUCCUUCCCACCACCCUCACCCUUGUUACGGACAUCAGUGACACCACAAACUUUGACACACUGAGUUCUUUGUGCUCCUCUGGGUGGUUGUCACACUGCUCCUUAGCACUCGAUUGGCCAAGAGGUAUAUAUUUAGUCAUUUUAAUCUUUUCCCUAUCAGUCAUCUCCUGCUCUUCCCUACGUGCAGUCCUGCACUGCACUGAAAUCUUCAUUGCUCAGGAAGAUUUAGUGCUGUGUUUUGGUGCUGCAGGGUUAGCACUGCAGGUUGGUUGAGCUCCCUAAGGGCAGCAGGAAGCAGUAGCAUUUAAUCUUGUGAAGCUUUUGCUGUUUCGUAAGCCUUCCUAAUCAUUUCUGUCUAAGGAGAGUUUUGGUUAGAGAGCGAGACUGAAAGCCAUGAAGAAGGCAGUGUGAGCUGCUCAAGGAAGAGGCCGGUAACCCUGAACAAAAGCCAUGAGUGUGGAGUUGUGAGAAAUCCCCAGGACCAGCAAAAAAAGCACUGUGUUUUCAUAGGAACAGAGUAGUGCUGCACACAGGUUUGGACUGGGAGAUAAGUGGCUGGGGAGCUGGUUGACAGCAGUCUCAGUGUGAACCUAUGCAUUCUGGGGUGCAUUAAACACAGCACAACCAGCCACUCAAGAGGAGAUUCUCACAUAUUUACCAUUGGUCUGGCCUCACUUAGAAUACUGUGUGCUGUUCUCAAUUUAAAGAGGGUUUUAAGAUGCUUGCAUGUGUCCAGAGGAACACAACAAAGCUGGUAAAAGGGUAGGAAUGAAUGUCCUAUGAGAAGCAUCUGAGGACAAUGUGUGUGAAGCUUGCAGGAGAGGUUGAGGAAUCACCUCACUGCUCUCCACAACUCUGUGAGGAAGGGAAGCAUUCACCUUUCCUCCCUGUUAUCAGCAGCAGGAUGCAUAGCAAUGGCACAAAGCUGUGUUAGGAGAGGUUCAGAUUGGACAUCAGGAAUAACUUACUUACUAUGAGGGUAGUUAGAUACCAGAACUGACUUCAUAGAGAGAUGGCUGUCCACGAUUAAGAGGCAUUUGGAGAACGCCCUUCAACGUAAUUUAACUUUGGUUCAGUUCCAGGGUAGCCUGCCAGCUGGAAGGGACCUACCAACAAAGAUUAUUGAGUCCAACUGAAACUAUUCUAUUCUAAACACAGUGCACUAGAAUGGGGCACCCAGUAACACAUAAACAGAGAUUAUCUACCGCUCCAAUCAGUGCUGUUACAUCUGCAUGGCAGAGGGAGGGAGCAGAGGGCUCCUUCUGUCACCCUAUAGAAAAAAAAGUGUUCACAAAACUCUAUCACUGUUUUCUGCCCCAUCAGUCUAAGAGCACAGCUUGGGGGCCAUGGGGAAGAAAUGGGAAGAAUGGAAUUAACAAAGCACUGAAUGAAUAAUGGAUUGGAAUAGAGACGAUGCUGAUUGAGUUGGUCUCCAGUUAAGAAGCUGUGCUUUAAACUUUCCGUGACUCUCCAGGUUGGACAGAGAGGCGUAGAGAGCUUUAGUUUACCUCAAAUAACCUAGCAAGUGCUUUUAGAGCAUAAAGUAUAACAGGAUGAGACAGCUCUGAAACAGGAUAAAUAUACCUGAGUGUCUGGGAAAUGAGCAAGAGGUGACAUGAAAUGACAGACCCUGGAGAUGGAAAAGGAGACCUGAUGGAGUGGCUGGCAGAGCCAAAAUGGUAUCUUGUAGAUAAGAAGCAGAGAGGCUCAUUUUAUAGCUGAACCAUUUCCAGCAUCAUCAGCAAGCAUAUAAAAAAUGACAGAGUUGAAUUAUUUGGUAGGAAGAAGAAUGAAAGACAAAAGGUGAAGUAAUUCAGGGCAUCUGCUGGGAACCAAUUCUCCUCAAAGGAGAACAAAACCAACUUCUGGCUCUGUGCUGCUGGUUCUUGAGAUCACACAUUACAGUGCUGAGGAGGAAUUUCAAAUAUUCAGACAUCUGCGGCCCACCCAGGCACCCUUGUUUCAAAGGAAAUCCUCCUGAUAGAGAAAUAACGAGGAAGAUUUGCAUCAUGAAAAUUCACCCAGCAGGAAAAUACUGUCCUGCAUUCCUCUGCUCCCAGCAGGGAGAGUCCAGACAAAAGUAAGAAAAAAGGAAGAGCUUGGUAGAGAAAUGGAAAGCUUGUAUUGAGCUUUUUUGGAGUAGAACAGGUUUUCCGUACACACAGAGCACCUCCAUGUUCUAGAGUGGCAUGAUCUGAGAGAAACCCUGUCCUCGUUUAAAUGUAUGGCCUCGUUCCCAUAGCCUGAAACUUGGCCUGUUCUAAAGUCAAAGCGAUCCUUACGUAAUGGAAGGCAGCAUUAAAGUCGGAGCUCUGCCCACAGAUGGACAAAGUGCCUGGAAACAGAACAGCCCCUGAGGCAGUGAGUGCUGGUCAGCCUGCAGCCCAAAACAUCCUUUGGAAAGCAGGAAGGAACGGGGAGCAUUGAAGUCUGGCUUCACAUGGGGCCUCUCAAAGGGAAUAAGAAUUACUGAGAUGCGUUUAUUGCAGCUUGCGUCUCACGGUAGAUGCAGUGUGACACAGAACUGCACAGGCAGACGUGGGAAACACAUUUCACCCUAGGAAAGGAAUGGGCAGUGAAGCUGCAGUGUGAAGUUUGGUUCAGACAUUUCACAAGUAGAAGAGUGUGAGCCAACACCUCCCAAAUUCCCAUGUGCUUGCAUUCCUCGCUUUCAUUUUCAAUCCAUUCCAGCAAGUCACUCACAUGGGCUCUCUAGUCAACAGCAUUGACAACAGCAAAAUGCAUUGACAAUCCUUAUUGAAAGCAUUCCUGAUUCCAUUCUAAUCACCUGUCUCCAUACAGAAUGAAGCCACAGACCCAAUGCAGUGAGAAGUAACAGCUGGAACUUUGUAACUGCUAGCUCUGGUUACAAUGCAUCACACAUGAAACAAUCAGAUAUGCAUUUAUUUUCUGGUUUGCUUUGUCUUAUUCCUCUGUACAGUCAAUUGGCAACAGCCAGCUAUUCUACCAGUUACUAGUUUUCAUCUCCAGCACGUGAUGGAGCUUUCAUCAGAACUCCAUUUAAAGGACAUUCCCUACAGACAUAAACCAGGAUCACGUUCUGAUGCUGAAAGUCAACACAAUCAUCUCAGUUCCUGAAUCUGAAUGCAAGAGAGGAAAUAGGAAAGAACCUGGGCUGAUACAUUUCCUGCUAAGGUGACUCUAAAGUACAAAACACCACAUAUCAACAACAUAACUGAAUCACAGAAUCACAAUGGUUGGAAAACACCCUUAGGAUCAUGCAGUCCGACCAUUAACCAAUCCCCACCACACUCAUUAAAGCACAGCCAAAUCAUGCACCCAACGAGGGGCAUGAAAGCAGAAGGCAGGAAAGCAGCCCAAAGACACCUCUCUUCCCACAUGGUUUCUGUUAGACAUUUAGAGUGAGAUCUCUGGUUCGUGCAUAACACCCCAUUAAUCUACUUGAAGUAUGAAUAUCGAGGGGUUUCCCAUGUGGACAAACACAAAAAAUCCUCCCACUCCUACCUAGUGGGAAGCACAUGGAGUGGGGGCAGGAUAAGAGCUGAAAGCCCAGAACUGAGGGUCCUGCAAGCAUCCAAGGCUCAGGGCACACCAAGGAGUGAGCAGAGAGCAGAAGCAUUUCAGAACAGCACCGAGGCAAACAUUUCCAUUACCUGCAUCGCUGUAGGGCAGAAGAAUCCCAGUUGUGGCUCAGGGCCGUGCCUUAGAACAGAGCUGAUCCUUGGAACCAGUCUUUCUUCCUGCUAAACGCAGGCACGCUUAAUGCAAUGCCUGUGAUUAAUCCACUGACUUGAGUGGCUGACUGUAAGCAGGGCCAGAGGUACCUGCAGAACCGCAGUCUGCAGGAGUGGAAAUGCUAAGGAUGAAUUCUAAGGAUGUUUGCAACAAACAGCUUUUAUUUAUUUUUUUUGUGACUGGUGCCAACCUCCACACGAGUGUCGUGGUAAGCAAACAGCCAUCAGUAAGCUUUACAUCAACAGGCCUGAGCUGAGGAAACUCUCAUUGCCAAUACAGCCACUGAACUGCAACAAAGCAGCAGCUUUCCUCCCUAAGUGUGUGCGACUUUACUGAUACCAACCCUGCUCACUUAUGUGGAAGAGAAGAGCAGUUUUAACCCUGCACCAAGGAUCUGUUCCUAAAGGAAGCCAGAAAUACCCUACGGGGAGCUGUGUUUUACCUAACACUGUUGUGAGAGGCUCCAAGAGCACAUGUUUUAAUGUAUGGAAUUCCCUAGAUCCAUUAUAAAUGUUAUCUGGGCUCAGCUGACUUCCCAAAAAUCAAAUCCCACAGAUAAGACAAUUAAUUCCCAAGAUGUUUAUUUACCAAUAACCAUUCCUCUAGGCCAAGCUUGCCAGUCCACACUAUUACCCAAGGAACAGAGAUAAUAUCUGAUAUCCUUAUUUCUCCUGGGCAAUUCACAACCAUGGAUUUCAAAACACAUCUUUUGUUCCCACAACUUGCUCCAAGCAACUUCAAAUGGGGGAAAACGCUCCAACUUCGGAGGGCUGUGCAGCUUUGCAGGGGCCAGAAGAAAGACAGGCAGGAGCAAGCAUCCCACACCCAGCCCCAAACUGCUAAGCAAGGGCUCCCAGGGACUCUGCACAGCCAUCUUCUGCUCAGUCUCACACUGAAGACACACGUGGUGAACAGCAGGGACAAGCUGAACAAUCUGGCUUCAAUUUUUUACUCACUUUUUCUCCUAUUACUUCAUUCCAGAAGCCAACUUACCUGGGGAUUAUUUAUUUUUUUGCUAGAAAAUAAGGUAUCAAGUAGAACUCCUGCUAACUGAUAGCAGACAGCAAACAAGCAAUUGAAGAGCGGUGCAGAUGGGAACUGCUGUCCAUAUUCUGGUUAGAUAACACUGGAAAUCAACAGAUCUGGAGAAACAUCCCUGAAACCAACCAGUAUUGUCAGCCAUCUCAACAAGCAAUGUAACAAGUCUUUGGCAUAUGGCUUUAAAGUAGGAUCAACCCAGAAAUGCUUUUUAUUUUACAAGACUUAUAUUCCAUUUCACAGAUUUGACUAUUACAGCAGUGGAAUUAUUACAAGUGAUUCGUAACACUUAGUUCUAAAUAAAAGUAGAAAAGCACAAAAAUGAUAAUGGAGAGUUAAAUGAGAUAUGAUGUGUAGUAAAUGUGUUUUAAGAACACAGGAAAAAAAAA